GCCCGGGUGGUGAAAUGGCAAACACAGAGCACUUAAAAUGCUCCGCCCCACGGCUUGCGGGUUCGAGUCCCGCCCCGGGCA
rnacentral:tRNA from 1 species